rnacentral:rRNA from 1 species
AGAUUGAACGCUGGCGGCAGGCCUAACACAUGCAAGUCGAGCGGCAGCACGGGUACUUGUACCUGGUGGCGAGCGGCGGACGGGUGAGUAAUGCCUAGGAAUCUGCCUGGUAGUGGGGGAUAACGCUCGGAAACGGACGCUAAUACCGCAUACGUCCUACGGGAGAAAGCAGGGGACCUUCGGGCCUUGCGCUAUCAGAUGAGCCUAGGUCGGAUUAGCUAGUUGGUGAGGUAAUGGCUCACCAAGGCGACGAUCCGUAACUGGUCUGAGAGGAUGAUCAGUCACACUGGAACUGAGACACGGUCCAGACCUCCUACGGGAGCAGCAGUGGGGAAUAGUUAGGACAAGUGGGACGAAAGCC